rnacentral:rRNA from 1 species
UACGUAGGGUGCAAGCGUUAAUCGGAAUUACUGGGCGUAAAGCGUGCGCAGGCGGUUAUGCAAGACAGAUGUGAAAUCCCCGGGCUCAACCUGGGAACUGCAUUUGUGACUGCAUGGCUAGAGUACGGUAGAGGGGGAUGGAAUUCCGCGCGUAGCAGUGAAAUGCGUAGAUAUGCGGAGGAACACCGAUGGCGAAGGCAAUCCCCUGGACCUGUACUGACGCUCAUGCACGAAAGCGUGGGGAGCAAACAGG